rnacentral:rRNA from 1 species
UACGGAAGGGGCAAGCGUUGUUCGGAAUCAUUGGGCGUAAAGGGCGCGUAGGUGGUUCUGUGUGUCUACCGUGAAAGCAUACAGCUCAACUGUAUUUUGUCGGUAGAAACUGCAGGACUUGAGGCUGGGAGGGGCUGGUGGAAUUCCCUGUGUAGCGGUGAAAUGCGUAGAGAUGGGGGAGAACACUCGUGGCGAAGGCGGCCAGCUAGACCAGUUCUGACACUGAGGCGCGACAGCGUGGGGAGCAAACAGG